rnacentral:rRNA from 1 species
UACGGGGGGGGCAAGCGUUGUUCGGAAUUACUGGGCGUAAAGGGCUCGUAGGCGGCCAACUAAGUCAUACGUGAAAUCCCUCGGCUUAACCGGGGAACUGCGUCUGAUACUGGAUGGCUUGAGUUCGGGAGAGGGAUGCGGAAUUCCAGGUGUAGCGGUGAAAUGCGUAGAUAUCUGGAGGAACACCGGUGGCGAAGGCGGCAUCCUGGACCGAUACUGACACUGAGGCGCGAAAGCGUGGGGAGCGAACAGG